AGAAUCAACGCUGGCGGCGUGCCUAACACAUGCAAGUCGAACGAGAAAGGGGAGCAAUCCCUGAGUACAGUGGCGACCGGGUGAGUAACACGUGACUAACCUACCCUCGAGUGUGGAAUAACAUCGGGAAACCGAUGCUAAUACCGCAUAAUAUCGCAAGAUCAAAGGAGUAAUCCGCUUGAGGAGGGGGUCGCGGCUGAUUAGCUAGUUGGCGGGGUAAUGGCCCACCAAGGCGAAGAUCGGUA
rnacentral:rRNA from 1 species